CCCCUGGUGGUCUAGUGGUUGGGAUGCAGCGCUCUCACCACCGUGGCCCGGGUUCGAUUCCCGGUCAGGGAC
rnacentral:tRNA from 1 species